rnacentral:rRNA from 1 species
UGGGGAAUAUUGCACAAUGGGCGCAAGCCUGAUGCAGCCAUGCCGCGUGUAUGAAGAAGGCCUUGGGGUUGUAAAGUACUUUCAGCGGGGAGGAAGGUGUUGUGGUUAAUAACCACAGCAAUUGACGUUACCCGCAGAAGAAGCACCGGCUAACUCCGUGCCAGCAGCCGCGGUAAUACGGAGGGUGCAAGCGUUAAUCGGAAUUACUGGGCGUAAAGCGCACGCAGGCGGUCUGUCAAGUCGGAUGUGAAAUCCCCGGGCUCAACCUGGGAACUGCAUCCGAAACUGGCAGGCUUGAGUCUUGUAGAGGGGGGUAGAAUUCCAGGUGUAGCGGUGAAAUGCGUAGAGAUCUGGAGGAAUACCGGUGGCGAAGGCGGCCCCCUGGACAAAGACUGACGCUCAGGUGCGAAAGCGUGGGGAGCAAACA